rnacentral:rRNA from 1 species
GACGAACCGUGCAAACGUUGUUCGGAAUUACUGGGCGUAAAGCGCGCGCAGGCGGUCUUCCAAGUCAGUGGUGAAAGCCCGGAGCUCAACUCCGGAACUGCCAUUGAAACUGUGAGACUUGAGGAUGAGAGAGGUGAGUGGAAUUCCCAGUGUAGAGGUGAAAUUCGUAGAUAUUGGGAAGAACACCGGUGGCGAAGGCGGCUCACUGGCUCAUAUCUGACGCUCAGGCGCGACAGCGUGGGGAUCAAACAGG